rnacentral:lncRNA from 1 species
CACUUCACAGACUUUCUCUUCCUUCCUGAACAGUUGUGGACUCGCUGCUGGUAAUAAUCAGCAGACAGAAACUCGACUCUGUUAUCUGCUCUGCUGUUCUUGGAUGAUGAUGAUGAUGGUACUGGGGAUAAAUUAUAUGAAAAGCGUUGUUGGUGUUUUGAUGCUGAUCACAGGAAGGUCCCAUGGUCUGAUGUUUACUUGCGACGCAAGACAAAAUACUACAUGUUACACCGCCCUUGGACACCCGGUCUAUCUGCAGCUGAUAAAUGUUGAACAACCCCAGCUGAGUUUUACAGCAGGGACUCAAAGAAUAUUCAACAUAAAGAAAAAUAUAAUCACACGUCAGAAUCUCCCUCCAAAUUGGCAGUUUAUCAUUAGUAACUGGACCCUGAUUAUUAACCCUGUGGAGAGGAAAGAUACAGGAACAUACAGAACUGAGAGCCAUGAUGAAUACGGGAAAGUGGUGGGGAUAAACUGCUUACAUCUUUUUAUUGAAGCUCCUGUAUCCUCUGUGACUCUGAACAUCGCCUGCUUACCCUCUAGUGAGAGGAGGGUGACCUGUUCCUCCAGUGGGGACAGUCCUCAGUACAGCUGGACCCUGGACGGGACACCACUGGGUGAAGGUGGAACUGAUGUCAUAUUGAAGGAGGAAGCGACAGGAGCUCUAACCUGCACUGUCACCAAUAACGUCAGCAGCGUCAACAAAACUCAAGACCUGAAUCCAUGUAGAAGAACUACAACCCCUCUGUCUACCAGUCCACCUCAAACAGGUACAAACUCAAGCCUUCACUCAAACUGCACAACAGAGACAUUGAAUAGUGACACAACAGGGACAACAGAGACACAUUGGCUUCAUUUCCUUUGGCCUACAGCAGUGGUACUGGGAGUCAUCCUGUUAUGUCUGUCAGUCACAAUAGGGGUGUUCUACAUCUCAAAGAGGAAGAAGGUUAAAGAAACAACAGGAAAUACAUCCGGAGACCCCAAUGAUGUGAUCUAUACCCAGGUCAACAUUAAUAACCAAAGAAAAAAGAUCAACAUUCCAGAUGUAGAGCUGGAGUAUGCUGAGGUGUCCUUCAACAGGAAGCCACAGCAGAGGAAGGUGUACAAGGAAGAGAAGGUGGAAUACGGGGAGCUGUCAUUUUCGGCAACUUCCCAAAAGAACAUUCAGGCACCUGCGGAGCAGAUGGACUGUGUGUAUUCCACUGUUCGUCUUAGUUGAGCAAACAGCAUCUUCACACCUUUGUUCUUAUGCGCAAUAUUGAGUGUGAAUCCAGAUAUUUAUUAUCUUGUCAAGGACAAACUGUACAGUUUCACAGAUAAAAGCCCUAAAAUGUUGAUGUUUUAACUUAAAAAGUUCAAGGAACAGGAUUCCAAUGGACAGUGGACAAUCCCACUUACUACCAUUGUGUCCCUGAGCAAGACACUUAACCCUGUGUGUCUCCACUGGGACUGUCCCUGUAACUACUGACUGUAAGGCGCGCUGGAUUGGGGUGUCUAAUAAAUGCCUUAAAUGUAAAAACA